GGUGAGCUCCGCGGUACAGUUAAAAAGCUCCACGCGACAGUAGGUGAGCUCUGCGGUACAGUUAAAAAGCUUCGCGCGACAGUAGGUGAGCUCCGCGGUACAGUUAAAAAGCUCUGUGUGACAGUAGGUGAGCUCCGCGGUACAGUUAAAAAGCUCCGCGCGACAGUAGGUGAGCUCCGCGGUACAGUUAAAAAGCUCCUCGCGACAGUAGGUGAGCUCUGCGGUACAGUUAAAAAGCUCAGCGCGACAGUAGGUAAGAUCCGCAGUACAGUUAAAAAGCUCAGCGCGACAGUAGGUGAGC